rnacentral:rRNA from 1 species
CCUACGGGGGGCAGCAGUGGGGAAUAUUGGACAAUGGGCGAAAGCCUGAUCCAGCCAUGCCGCGUGUGUGAAGAAGGCCUUCGGGUUGUAAAGCACUUUCAGUGGGGAAGAAAGCCUUGGGGCUAAUACCCUCGAGGAAGGACAUCACCCACAGAAGAAGCACCGGCUAACUCCGUGCCAGCAGCCGCGGUAAUACGGAGGGUGCGAGCGUUAAUCGGAAUUACUGGGCGUAAAGCGCGCGUAGGCGGUCUGAUAAGCCGGUUGUGAAAGCCCCGGGCUCAACCUGGGAACGGCAUCCGGAACUGUCAGGCUAGAGUGCAGGAGAGGAGGGUAGAAUUCCCGGGGUAGCGGUGAAAUGCGUAGAGAUCGGGAGGAAUACCAGUGGCGAAGGCGGCCUUCUGGACUGACACUGACGCUGAGGUGCGAAAGCGUGGGUAGCAAACAGGAUUAGAUACCCCUGUAGUC